UAGGGAAUCUUCGGCAAUGGGGGGAACCCUGACCGAGCAACGCCGCGUGAGUGAAGAAGGUUUUCGGAUCGUAAAGCUCUGUUGUUAAGGAAGAACGAGUGUGAGAAUGGAAAGUUCAUGCUGUGACGGUACUUAACCAGAAAGGGACGGCUAACUACGUGCCAGCAGCCGCGGUAAUACGUAGGUCCCGAGCGUUGUCCGGAUUUAUUGGGCGUAAAGCGAGCGCAGGCGGUUAGAAAAGUCUGAAGUGAAAGGCAGUGGCUCAACCAUUGUAGGCUUUGGAAACUGUUUAACUUGAGUGCAGAAGGGGGGAGUGGAAUUCCAUGUGUAGCGGUGAAAUGCGUAGAUAUAUGGAGGAACACCGGUGGCGAGAGCGGCUCUCUGGUCUGUAACUGACGCUGAGGCUCGAAAGCGUGGGGAGCGAACAGG
rnacentral:rRNA from 1 species